UACAAAACAGUAAUUUAUGGCCGCGUGCUUUGCUUCAAACACAGAUGAAUGCUACACACAGCUCGAAGCAGCAAGUGCCACUAGCUGUAGCGCAGCGGCUUCAAGAGGAAGCCAAAGCACUUCAGCCGCAGGGGAAUUAAGAGAGGUUUUACAUACCAUCACCAUUCACUUGAUCCCCAGGAGUGUGAGAGAGUUGAGGCAAUGAGCUUUCCUCUAAUGCCAGCAGCUGGUCACUGUGUUUGUUCUUCAGGUCUGGAUUACAUGAAUAAUAGUGAGUCAACAAGGUGCAAACCUCAGGGUGCUUAAUGCUUUUAUUAUGGGGCUAAGCAGAGCAGAUGAUGGGAGGGUGGAGGGGGGGCUCUGUUUGUAAUGCUCUGACCCGCUCCUACAAGCAAUGUUGUCUGCAACGUGUUACUGUGUACUCUAAAAGAGCUGGUGGUUUCCUUGGUUUCACUUCCUGACACUGCCAUCAUCACAAAGCAGCUUGGGAAUCCUCCCGACUUCCAGGGGAGACAAAGAAGAGAUGCACACAGCGGCUGAUACACAGAACAGAAAAGAGGCCAAGAGCAAGCAGCAGACACUGCCACACAGUUCAAAAGGGUUUCCACCUCAAACCAUCCUCAGGAGACAGAAGCCUGUUGAAAGCAAAGGAUCAAGCUCCUGCGCAGGGGAGAAGGUGGGUCUGAACAGCAUUCACACUUUGGGAUGCACUGGACUUUUGCAGGGCAAUGAUAAUCUGAGGUGCUUUCUCCAGCUGAAACUUCCUUUUUUUGGGUUGAAGAUACUGUCUGAGUCCCCAGGCCUGGCUUUGCAGCAUGCCAGGGCUGUGCUAACUGGCAGAGAUCAGGCACCUAUGGAAACAAAGACAAAUUAUAAAACAAGUUAUAUAAAACAAAGCUCAGCAGUGCAAUCAGUGUUUUAGAACAAUUCCCAUUUCCCCCCUAAACAUAGGGGCAGAAGAGCACUGGUUACAAUUCAAGAACAACUUGCUUUUUCCUCCUGAGGGGAGAUUAAAGGGGCCAGAGAGCAUCCAAGAGACUGCUUCUCAGCCAGGCAUGCUACACUGCAUUUCCCCUGCCCCUCACCCAGUCUUCUUCAAUGCACAGAUGAUGGAGGGGAAGGGAAAAUACAAUGCACUGCCCAAAUUCCCCAGGGAUGAUCCCCCUUGGGGUGGGCUGCAAAUGGUGAGCAAUACAGAGGGGGAAGCAAUACUGUCAUCUACUGGCACCUAGGCACACACUGCUUGGACUACCACUAACCUGGGGGGGUGGUUAGAAGGCCAGAAAGGUCUCAAAUCAAAGUUGAAAGGAUAUUGGGAGCUCAUUUAUUUCUUCUUUUCCUGUAUCUAAGAAUCCUUAUUCAUUAAGGUGGAAGGUCAAUUAGGCUUACAUCUCCCCAUUUAUACCGAUCAGUGGUUGGGGUGACAUUCUGGGACUGGGAUGGUCCUGCAGACUUCUUGAAGUCGCUCUGUCUUGCUAUCCCAUAGAGGCAAGCAGCAUCAGUGGGCCACCAUUAGCAAGUCGUGAUCUGAGCGACAAGGGAAACAUGUCUCUUGGAUGGGAAGGAAUAUUUUUAAAGGGCAUUUGUGAGCAUUUUCCUGGCUGUCUUCCUCCCGGGCAGUAGAACCUACUCAGGAAGCACAACGAGAAUCUGUCUGCUCCAGCCAGGGCUCCUGUUUCUGGUUUCUUACACCAAAAGGGCUGGGAUAGUCUUAAUGUGGCCCCCAAACCCUGCAGAGUGGCUCAGUAUAGCAAACCACAGCUCAACCAGGCUCCUGUCUGAAGCCCCUGGUUUUCUCAUUUUAAGAGAGAACAACAUGAACUGAUUGAACCUCUUAAGACAGGACAGCUGCAAAAACACAGGCACAAAGGAGCAGCACAUCAGCACAUACAGACUGACAUUAGGGUUUAAUACACAGAUAAUAUGAGUUUAAUUCCAGGAGAGAGAGCAUGUAACACUGCCAUGCUGCGGCGUUGGAGAUGUGGCUACAGUAGGAAGGGUGGAAGCAAAUUAGUGGGACAGGGGAGAGUCCUUCUUUAAUGCCCUCCCUUUAAGCAAUCACACGUUCUCUUCUGUUCUAGGAAGUGGGUCUUCAGGAUAACGUCCUGGCCCAACCGUUUCCAGCCUGGGUUUGACUUGCAGUGCAUAGUAUUAGCAUCCCAUUGCAUGUGUAGCAAUGCAUGGGGGAUGGCGGAACAACCUCGCCACCUUAACGAGGAAGCACAAGGGUCGGAGAAAGACAACGCUUUACUGCUGCUGCCCACGGUAUUGGCAGAAUGGGUCCGGAGUGUCAGUGCGUACGGAAGUCAACUGGGCCUAUGCAUGUCCUGCGGACACUUGCUUCCUUUGGCAGGGCACUGGACCCAAUCUCAGAUGGUUUUCCCAGCACUGAUAUUUAUAGUCAUAAAGCAGCUACCUUCAGGCCUGUGUUCUGAGCGGAUGAGACUGCAACAAUCACCACCUAUGUGAACACACUUUGUGCAACAGCGGAUUGCAGAGUUUCUGCUUUUUACUUCAGAAAACAACUAUGAAUCCGGUGCAAGGCAUCAUAAAAAGCUCCGUUCCAAACACGCAGAGGUGCUGGCCUAUACCUUUCACUUGGACUGAUGUUGGGGCACGUGCUAACACUAAUUCCAGAUUGAAGUACUGAAGUAACUCCUCCAUUCCCCGUCUCGCUUCUUUGCCUUAUCUUUUAUCCCCCGCCCCCUCCGACAUUCUUAGUCACAGAAUUAGACAGUUAAUCCAUGUUAAAUGUGUCUUUGAGAGGCUCUUACCUUCAUUCAGAUGAGCUUUGAUGACCUCAUCAGGGCAUUUUCUGCAAGUUCUUUGGCUGUUCCUGAACCAAAAAUGACUUUUUCUCUGAUUAGAAGAACGUAACGGUGAAACCAAACUUAGCUGGAGACAGGAACUCGGGCAGCCACAAGCCAACGCUAAAAGGCAGGAUCUCUUGGGAGGUAAACUGGCUUCAAGAUCAAUUUAUGAUAGGGGUUCCAAAGAGCCUCGAGAGAUGGUGGAGCUAUUGCCAAAAAAAACCAACCCCUUUGAGCAGCGAACUCUUUGGAAGGUGCAUUCCCCCAUGGAGCUUAAUGAAAAACAAAAUCAGACAGGAAACUUUCACCCGGGAUUGUCUGAUGUCUUGCUGAAUGCACAGCUGCUCAGCAUUAGCAAACAGGAGGGAUAUUUUAUAGAUCUGGUUUGUGCUACAGAAGGUUUCUGCCAGGGCCCAGUCUGUGGCAAAAGCCACUGCAUGGACAAGAAUUCAGUGAUGACUCCGAGCAGCAGCACUUAUGGACUCUGCCUGCAUUGAGAUCAAGUGCUGCCCCCAAGGCUUAUCAAAUAAAAGCAGAUCGGGACCUGGGUAGGAUUAGUGGCCUCAGAAAUGGGAGGGUAGAUGGGAGUGCGGCACUGGUUACCACUAGUAGCUUUGGGGGCUUCAGGGAUUUGCUGAACAAAAAAUCAGUACAAGUUUUCAAAUGUCAUUGCCCAGCACUGGGCAGUCGGCUGUUCUAGACUCGGAUUUAUACUGCUCUCUGUCUCCUAUGUGCCCCUCUGCAUUGCAACUGCACCUCGAACAACUUCUCCACAGGCGGCGUGUGAUCCCCGUCAAAUCUCUUACCAAAAAUCUGGGGCAGAUGUGGAAACUCAGCUCAACACCUUCCCUUCACGAAGAAUUUAUGUUGCCUACUUGAGAUUACAUUUCUGGUUCCAUGUCCA